UUUAUCCAUGUAAAACCCAGUUUUUGCGGGUUUUAUAUAAAACCCGCAGAAACCGGGUUUUAUAUGGAUAAAAC